GGGCUCCCUGGUGAAUCAUGAUAACCUCUCGAAUCGCACGGCCUUGCGCUGGCGAUGGUUCAUUCAAAUUUCUUCCCUAUCAACUUUCGAUGUUUGGGUUUUGGCCAAACAUGGUUGCAACGGGUAACGGAGGGUUAGGGCUCGACCCCGGAGAAGGAGCCUGAGAGACGGCUACUACAUCCAAGGAAGGCAGCAGGCGCGCAAAUUACCCAAUCCCGACACGGGGAGGUAGUGACAAUAAAUACUGAUAUAGGGCUCUUUUGGGUCUUAUAAUUGGAAUGAGUACAAUUUAAAUCCCUUAACGAGGAACAAUUGGAGGGCAAGUCUGGUGCCAGCAGCCGCGGUAAUUCCAGCUCCAAUAGCGUAUAUUAAAGUUGUUGUGGUUAAAAAGCUCGUAGUUGAACCUUGGGCCUGGCUGGCCGGUCCGCCUCACCGCGUGCACUGGUCCGGCCGGGUCUUUCCCUCUGCGGAACCCCAUGCCCUUCACUGGGCGUGGCGGGGAAACAGGACUUUUACUUUGAAAAAAUUAGAGUGCUCCAGGCAGGCCUAUGCUCGAAUACAUUAGCAUGGAAUAAUGAAAUAGGACGCGCGGUUCUAUUUUGUUGGUUUCUAGGACCGCCGUAAUGAUUGAUAGGGACAGUCGGGG
rnacentral:rRNA from 1 species